rfam:Salmo salar isolate Sally breed double haploid chromosome ssa11, whole genome shotgun sequence.
CUUAACCAUAAUUGUAAGUCGCUCUGGAUAAGAGCGUCUGCUAAAUGACUCAAA